rnacentral:lncRNA from 1 species
AUGGGCUCCUGUGUGCCCAGCCCUGUCUUCGUAGUAACCAAAAUCAUAAUAAUGGCACUUAUUCAGGCCUUACUGUCUGCCCAACACCCUAUUAAUAGUAAAAAUAAUAAUAAUGGUUCCUGUAAAGGGCUUACUGUGUGUGCCCAGCACUGUAUUAAUGCUAGCAAAAAGGAUAAUAUAGUAAUAAUGGCACCUAUUAAGGGCUUACUGUGUGCCCAGCACUGUAUUAAUGCUAACAAAAAUGAUAAUUUAGUAAUAAUGGCACCUAUUAAGGGCUUACUGUGUGCCCAGCACUGUAUUAAUGCUAGCAAAAAGGAUAAUAUAGUAAUAAUGGCACCUAUUAAGGGCUUACUGUGUGCCCAGCACUGUAUUAAUGCUAGCAAAAAUGAUAAUAUAGUAAUAAUGGCACCUAUUAAGGGCUUACUGUGUGCCCGGCACUGUAUUAAUACUAACAAAAAUGAUAAUAUAGUAAUAAUGGCACCUAUUAAGGGCUUACUGUGUGCCCAGCACUGUAUUAAUGCUAACAAAAAUGAUAAUAUAGUAAUAAUGGCACCUAUUAAGGGCUUACUGUGUGCCCAGCACUGUAUUAAUGCUAACAAAAAUGAUAAUAUAGUAAUAAUGGCACCUAUUAAGGGUUUACUGUGUGCCCAGCACUGUAUUAAUGCUAGCAAAAAUGAUAAUAUAGUAAUAAUGGCACCUAUUAAGGGCUUACUGUGUGCCCAGCACUGUAUUAAUGCUAGCAAAAAUGAUAAUUUAGUAAUAAUGGCACCUAUUAAGGGCUUACUGUGUGCCCAGCACUGUAUUAAUACUAGCAAAAAUGAUAAUAUAGUAAUAAUGGCACCUAUUAAGGGCUUACUGUGUGCCCAGCACUGUAUUAAUGCUAGCAAAAAUGAUAAUUUAGUAUUAAUGGCACCUAUUAAGGGCUUACUGUGUGCCCGGCACUGUAUUAAUACUAGCAAAAAUGAUAAUUUAGUAAUAAUGGCACCUAUUAAGGGCUUACUGUGUGCCCAGCACUGUAUUAAUGCUAGCAAAAAGGAUAAUAUAGUAAUAAUGGCACCUAUUAAGGGCUUACUGUGUGCCCAGCACUGUAUUAAUACUAACAAAAAUGAUAAUUUAGUAAUAAUGGCACCUAUUUAG